GCGAACGCUGGCGGCAGGCCUAACACAUGCAAGUCGAGCGCCCAGCAAUGGGAGCGGCAGACGGGAGAGUAACACGUGGGAACGUACCCUUCAGUUCGGAACAACCAAGGGAAACUUUGGCUAAUACCGGAUACGUCCGUAAGGAGAAAGAUUUAUCGCUGAAGGAUCGGCCCGCGUCUGAUUAGCUUGUUGGUGAGGUAAUGGCUCACCAAGGCGACGAUCAGUAGCUGGUCUGAGAGGAUGACCAGCCUCACUGGGACUGAGACACGGCCCAGACUCCUACGGGAGGCAGCAGUGGGGAAUAUUGGACAAUGGGCGAAAGCCUGAUCCAGCCAUGCCGCGUGGAUGAUGAAGGCCUUAGGGUUGUAAAGUCCUUUUAACGGGGAAGAUAAUGACGGUACCCGUAGAAUAAGCCCCGGCUAACUUCGU
rnacentral:rRNA from 1 species